UACGUAGGUGGCAAGCGUUGUCCGGAUUUAUUGGGUUUAAAGGGUGCGUAGGCGGUUUUAUAAGUCAGUGGUGAAAUACAAUAGCUUAACUAUUGAGGUGCCAUUGAUACUGUAAGACUUGAGUACAGACGAGGUAGGCGGAAUUGACGGUGUAGCGGUGAAAUGCCUAGAUAUCGUCAAGAACACCGAUAGCGAAGGCAGCUUACUAGACUGUAACUGACACUGAGGCACGAAAGUGUGGGGAUCAAACAGG
rnacentral:rRNA from 1 species